CAGGUAAUGAGGCCAUUUCACUUCAAACUAAAAAAAAAACUAUCAUAGCAAAGAAAACAAUCAAUAGAGUGAAGAGAAAGCCCAUGGAUUAGGAGAAAAUAUGUGCAAAUUAUAUAUGUGAUACAGAGUUUCUAUCCAAAAUAUAUUAGAAACUCAACUCAAUAGCAGGAAAAAUAAAUUACCCAAUUAAAAAAUGGACAAAGGACCUGAUAGACACUUAUCCAAAGAAGACAUACAAAUGGCCAAUAGAUAUAUGAAAAAAAUGCUUAAAAUCAUUGAUCAUAGGGAAAUACAAAUUAAAAUUAUAAUGAUACAUUACCUCACAUCUGUCAGAAUGGCUAUUAUCAAAAAGAUGAAAGAUAAGUAUUGGUGAGGAUGUGGAGAAAAGGCACCUUUUGUACACUGUUGGUAGAAUGGAAAUAUAGCUAUUAUAGAAAAAAGUACAGACAUUCGUCAAAAAAUUUCAAAUAGAAUUACCAUAUAAUCCAGCAAUCCCACUUCUGGAUAUAUAUCCUAAGGACUUGAAAUCAGUAUGUCAAAGUGAUAUCUGCACUUGCAUGUUCAUUGCAGCAUUAUUCACAAUGGCCAUGAUAUGAAAGCAACCUAAUUGCCCAUCAAGGAGGAAUGAAUAAAGAAAAUGUGGUAAAAUGGAAUACUAUUCAUCCAACAAAAAGAGGAAAUUCUGCCAUUUACAACAUGACUGAAUCUGGAGGACAUUAUGCUGGGUGAAAUAAGCCAGGAACAAAAAGACAAAAACUGUGUGAUCUCACUUAUAUGUAGAAUCUAAACAACUCAAACUCAUAGAAGUAGAGAGUAGAAUGAAGGUUACCAGAUUGGGGGAUAUGGAGGGGAUGAGGAAUGGGGAGACAGUCAAAGGGUACAAAGUUGUCAGUAACAUAUGGAAUAGGUUUUAAAGAUCCAUUGCACAGCAUGCUGACUAUAGUUAGUAACCAUGUAUUGUGUAUUUCAAAAUUGCUAAAAGAGAUUUUAGCCAGGCACGGUGGCUCACGCCUGUAAUCCCAACACUUUGGGAGACUGAGGUGGGGUGGGCGGAUUGCUUGAGGCCAGGAGUUCUAGACCAGCCUGGGCAAUAUGGCGAAACCCCAUCUCUACUAAAAAUACAAAAAACUAGCCGGGCAUGGUGGUGCACGCCUGUCAUCCCAGCUACUUGGGAGGCUGAGGCAUGAGAAUUGCUUGAACCUGGGUGAUGGAGGUUGCAGUGAGCCAAGAUCAUGCCACUGCACUCCAGCCUGGGUGACGGAGUGAGACUCUAUCUUGAGGAGGGAAAAAAAAAGAGUAGAUUUUAAAUGUUCUCAUCAUAAAAAAGGGUAAGUAAGGUGACAGAUAUGUUAAUUAGCUUGAUUUUUAUCAUGUCAUGAUGCAAAUAUAUUUAAAAAACACAAUAUACCCCAUAAAUAUAUACCAUUAUUUCUCAAUUUAAAAUAAAAAAUACAUUCAUGAAAGAAAAAAAGUCUAAACAAAUGGAAAAGCAAAAAAAAAUUUAAAACAAUUACCAUGUUAAACUAGUAUUUCUGAAUCUAUAGUCACUGAGCUAACUACAAUAUCAUCGUGAUUAAAUAAGAUUAAAAUCUUUUUAGUUUUUGAAAUGUUGCUUAUUAUACUUUAAAAACGCAUUUGUACAGCUGAUUAUUUAAAACUGGAAUUAAAUAUCAAUUAGUGGAGUUUGACAUCUUUCAAAACAUAGACUCUAGAGAGAACAAUAAAAAGGGGUGCUUGUUCAUUUAAAAAAAAAAAAAGGAUUUUCCCCCUUUUAAAGUAUAAUUUCUAUCCCAACAAAAAACUUAGUGGCAAAUCCCCAACACUAGGACAGAUUUGUCAGUUUUACGGGUACAACUGGAAUACCCCUUCCUUACAUAACAGAAUAUUAUUCAUAUAAGUUGUCUUCAACUUUCACACAGAAAGUGUGAUAGCUUUAAAAGAAAUUUACCUUAAUGUACGUGCUUCAAAAUACAAUAUUGAAGGAUUAUCCUUUGAAAAAUUUUAAAUCCCACUCUAAGAUGCAAGCAGGAAUAGAUGUAUAGAUGUUCACUUGAAUACAGUAAGCUGUGACAAUUACUGAGCUAGAAAGCCAAUAUUUUAAAUUUUUAUACCAAUAGGAUUUUCCUAUUUGUUGAACUUUUUAAAUUGGCGUCUUCUCUUCAUGGUGUCUUAGGGCACAGUCAGAAAUAAAAUAAAGUAGGUAGGUUCAAGUAGUGCUUUCAAAGAUGUGAGAGUUUUAAAACACACCAAUAUUUAACUCUUAUUUUUGUGUGUCUUAUUCUGUUAGGAGUAUAUAAAAAAUAGGCUGUGGUUAGUACAACAGAAAUCAGUAUCAAAUGAAGGAGAAUUGUGUUAUCUAAUAGAGGGAUUUCCAAAAAUGACUUCUACUUUGGGUUAAAUAUGUUUAUGUAAAAAAGAACUCUCUCUCCAUAGUCAAGACUUUUAGAUGUCUAUUAUCGGUAGAAACUUGUGGUUCUUUAUACUCCUGUUUACAUUUCAUGAGGUAGUUCAUACAUGUAUUUUCAAGUGUAAUGGGUAAUGGCCAGUGUAUUUGUUAAAAACUAUACAUAUCACAUGUUUAUGUAGGUACGAAUGUAUAUUCUAUAUACACAUGUGUAUUCUAAUAUAUUUCUGAGGCGAUGUUAAUGAAUUACCACAUGCACAGGAAAAAUAAUAACUGUCAUCUGACCCAUAAAUCUGCAUUUGUGUUUUAGUAUGUGUAUAUAAAAAGUUAUUUACCCAGUAAUGUUAUUUGACAUCAAAUUGCAACAAAUAAAAUUUCUUG
rnacentral:lncRNA from 10 species